GGCUUGAUGGAGCUGGUUAUUUGUAUUUGCGGAACUAAGUGGAGUGCCCUCUACAGUUCUCAGUUAGCAGAACAGUAGCUCGGCCAGCGUCCUCCUUCCUCCCUAGCCCCAUCUAGAGAAACAGGCUGCUGGCUGGUUGUAAAUCAAAGCUUGGGUCUAUGUGAAUGCGACUUGGUGGAUGAAGUUCGGUGUCCUGGUUCCAGCCUGUGCCUUGGGGAAAUAGAGUGUUUUCACCAAGAGAAUGUCUGGUUGAGUGAAGAGAUCAUGGGCAUCAGUUGAACUCUGCCUGCUGUACAAGUGAGGAGGAGGCGAUGAAUACAUUUCAGAGCAACACCAAGGUCACAUCUAUGACAUCAACAGCAGAAUGUCCAGAAGAGGAAACUGAGGCACAGAGGGUUGAGCGGCUUACAGGAGAUUCUGUGACCUCAUUCCUUAUUCCAAACACCACUGAGACUCACGCCACAUUUGGAGUACCAAGAACGCAGGACACACACAGCGACGCG
rnacentral:lncRNA from 1 species